UUACAUUUCAACUUAAGGUAGUACUACUAUAAAAAACCCAUAUAUUAUGGCGGUUUCAAUUAAUUAGAGAAACUCGCUUUAUAAUCGACAAUACCCGCUAAAUUUGACUUAUAUAAACUCAUAGCCUGUAUACCGCCGUUACUAGAAUUUAUUAAAAAAACUAACCCCAAAUAUUAUAAAAUCAAUAAAAAAUCAGGUCAAGGUGCAACUAAUAACUAAGAAUAAGUAAGUUACAUUAAAAAUAAUUUAAGGAUAACGUAAAAAAUUACAUUUAAAAAAGAAUUUAUAUGUACAUAAGGAUCAAAAAUCCUUUUAGAAAACUCUAAUUGAAACGC
rnacentral:rRNA from 1 species